rnacentral:rRNA from 1 species
UACGAAGGGGGCUAGCGUUGCUCGGAAUCACUGGGCGUAAAGGGCGCGUAGGCGGCGUUUUUAAGUCGGGGGGUGAAAGCCUGUGGCUCAACCACAGAAUGGCCUUCGAUACUGGGACGCUUGAGUAUGGUAGAGGUUGGUGGAACUGCGAGUGUAGAGGUGAAAUUCGUAGAUAUUCGCAAGAACACCGGUGGCGAAGGCGGCCAACUGGACCAUUACUGACGCUGAGGCGCGAAAGCGUGGGGAGCAAACAGG